ensembl:misc_RNA Metazoa_SRP Metazoan signal recognition particle RNA
GCCGGGCGCGGUGGCGCGUGCCUGUAGUCCCAGCUACUAGGGAGGCUGAGGUGGGAGGAUCGCUUGAGCCCAGGAGUUCUGGGCUGUAGUGCGCUAUGCCGAUCGGGUGUCCGCACUAAGUUCGGCAUCAAUAUGGUGACCUCCCGGGAGCGGGGGACCACCAGGUUGCCUAAGGAGGGGUGAACCGGCCCAGGUCGGAAACGGAGCAGGUCAAAACUCCCGUGCUGAUCAGUAGUGGGAUCGCGCCUGUGAAUAGCCACUGCACUCCAGCCUGGGCAACAUAGCGAGACCCUGUCUCUU